GACCCUGUUGGGAUAUUCAUUGAAGGUCGGUCUCCUAAACCGAAGAUUCAAGGUUCGAGUCCUUGCUGGGUCG
rnacentral:tRNA from 1 species